AGAUCCCCCCCUCUGGAGUUUUCUACUGCAAGCCUAGGACACAGGCCCAGCUCUGGGUGUUGUGUGUGCCCCAGCCCCUCUCCACUGUGCUGGCCUGUUCCUGCACAACAAUACCUGUCUUGCACCAGGAAGACCACGAUGCUUCAGAUGCCAUCUCUCAGAUCCUGUGUGGAGAGGAAUAACUGCUCUUCUUCAGCUGGUACUCCUGCUGGUUUGGUGUGGGAUGAUGUAGUGAGGAUUAGGGAACUGACUAUGGACUACUUGUGUAGUGAACUCUGUAAAAGUGCCAGAGAAGUUGUCCAUACAAGUCACUGUUUGGGUAUCAAGCUAGAUAAUUGUACCAAAGAGAAUACAAUAGACUGCGUGGCACAUCAGACUGCAGAUGUCAUCACAAUGUCCUUGGAUCAUCAGGCCUUUCACAGCUG